GCCAGCAUGGCAUAGUGGUUUAAGUGUUGGACUAUAACUCUGGAGACCAGAGUUCGAUUCCCAGCUCAGCCA
rnacentral:tRNA from 1 species